rnacentral:rRNA from 1 species
CUACGGGGGGCAGCAGUGAGGAAUAUUGCACAAUGGGGGAAACCCUGAUGCAGCAACGCCGCGUGGAGGAUGACGCAUUUCGGUGUGUAAACUCCUUUUAUCAGAGAAGAAAAUGACGGUAUCUGAUGAAUAAGCUCCGGCUAACUCCGUGCCAGCAGCCGCGGUAAUACGGAGGGAGCAAGCGUUAUUCGGAAUCACUGGGCGUAAAGGACGCGUAGGCGGGUUUUUAAGUCAGGUGUGAAAUCCUAUGGCUCAACCAUAGAACUGCACUUGAAACUGGGGACCUAGAGUAUGGAAGGGGCAGGUGGAAUUAGUGGUGUAGGGGUAAAAUCCGUAGAUAUCACUAGGAAUACCGAAAGCGAAGGCGACCUGCUGGGACAUUACUGACGCUGAGGCGUGAAAGCGUGGGGAGCAAACAGGAUUAGAUACCCCUGUAGUC